GAUGAAGAACGUAGCGAAAUGCGAUACUUGGUGUGAAUUGCAGAAUCCCGUGAACCAUCGAGUCUUUGAACGCAAGUUGCGCUCGAAGCCAUUAGGCCGAGGGCACGCCUGCCUGGGUGUCACACAUCGUUACCCCAACGCAAACAUGUAACAAUGUUGCUGCGCGGGGUGUAUGCUGACCUCCCGCGAGCACCCGCCUCGUGGUUGGUUGAAAUCUGGGUUCAUGGCCGACUUCGCCGUGAUAAAAUGGUGGAUGAGCCACGCUCGUGACCAAUCACGUGCGAGCCGGUCAGUUCUGGACCCAUCGACGACCCUUUGCGUGCACGCACGCUCCCAACGAGACCUCAGGUCAGGCGGGGCUACCCGCUGAGUUUAAGCAUAUCAAUAAGCGGAGG
rnacentral:misc_RNA from 1 species